UCAUGUUGAAAGACCACUUUCCGUACGAUCACUGAUGUUAAGCAAGGUCGUGCCUGAUCAGUACCGAGAUGAGUAACAGUUUAGGAAUCGCAGGUGCUGUAAG